GUGAGGAAUUUUCCGCAAUGGGCGAAAGCCUGACGGAGCAAUGCCACGUGAAGGAUGAAGGCCUAUGGGUUGUAAACUUCUUUUCUCAGAAAAGAAUUAUGACGGUAUCUGAGGAAUAAGCAUCGGCUAACUCUGUGCCAGCAGCCGCGGUAAGACAGAGGAUGCAAGCGUUAUCCGGAAUGAUUGGGCGUAAAGCGUCUGUAGGUUGUUUAAAAAGUAUUCUGUCAAAGAUUAGGGCUUAACCCUAGAUAGGCAGAAUAAACUUUUAAGCUAGAGUUUGGUAGAGGCAGAGGGAAUUCCCGGUGGAGCGGUGAAAUGCGUAGAUAUCGGGAGGAACACCAAAGGCGAAGGCACUCUGCUGGGCCAAUACUAACACUGAGAGACGAAAGCGAGGGGAGCAAAUGGGAUUAGAAACCCGGGUAGUCC
rnacentral:rRNA from 1 species